GAUGAAGAACGCAGCGAAAUGCGAUAAGUAAUGUGAAUUGCAGAAUUCAGUGAAUCAUCGAAUCUUUGAACGCACAUUGCGCCCGCCAGUAUUCUGGCAGGCAUGCCUGUUCGAGCGUCAUUUCAACCAUCAAGCCCCAGGCUUGUGUUGGGGGCCUGCGGCUGCCGCAGCCCCCUAAAAGCAGUGGCGGGCUCGCUGUCAUUCCGAGCGCAGUAGUUACAUCUCGCUCUGGGUGUGGCGGCGGGCACCUGCCGUGAAACACUUCUAAGGUUGACCUCGGAUCAGGUAGGAAUACCCGCUGAACUUAAGCAUAUCAAUAAGCCGGAGGA
rnacentral:misc_RNA from 1 species